GACGAACGCUGGCGGCGCGCCUUACGCAUGCAAGUCGAACGGAGUAUGCCUUCGGGCAUGCCCAGUGGCAGACGGGUGAGUAACACGUAGGUAACCUACCCAGGAGUGGGGAAUAACUCUCCGAAAGGAGAGCUAAUACCGCAGGAUGUCGCUUCGUACUUCGAGGUGACCAAAGCAGCAAUGCGCUCUUGGAGGGGCCUGCGGCCCAUCAGCUAGUUGGCGGGGUAACGGCCCACCAAGGCCACGACGGGUAGCUGGUCUGAGAGGACGACCAGCCACAAGGGGACUGAGACACGGCCCCUACUCCUACGGGAGGCAGCAGCGAGGAAUCUUGGGCAAUGGGCGAAAGCCUGACCCAGCGACGCCGCGUGGAGGAUGAAGGCCUUAGGGUUGUAAACUCCUUUUGCCGGGGAAGAAGCUCUGACGGUACCCGGCGAAUAAGCCACGGCUAACUACGUGCCAGCCGCCGCGGUAACAC
rnacentral:rRNA from 1 species